GGCACAUGCGGUGGAGCAUGUGGUUUAAUUUGAAGCAACGCGAAGAACCUUACCAGGCCCUGACAUCCAAACAACUUUCACAGAGAUAGAUUGGUGCCUUCGGGAACAUUGAGACAGGUGUUGCAUGGCAGUCGUCAGCUCGUGUCGUGAGAUGUUGGGUUAAGUCCCGUAACGAGCGCAACCCUUGUCCUUAGUUACCA
rnacentral:rRNA from 1 species